AACAUACUCCCUCUGUCCGGAAAUACUUGUUAUCAAAAUGAAUAAAAGAGGAUGUAUCUAGAUGUAUAUUAGUUCUAGAUACAUCCUUUUUUGUCCAUUUUGAUGACAAGUAUUUUCAGACGGAGGGAGUAUUUG
rnacentral:pre_miRNA from 1 species